GCUGGGUGUGGUGGCGCAUGCCUGUAGUCUCAGUUACUUGGGAGGCUGAGGUGGGAGGAUAGCUUGAGCCCAGGAAGUUGAGCCUGCAGUGAGCCAUGAGCAUGCCACUGCACUUCAACCUGGGCAAGAGAUUGAGACCCCAUCUCAA
rfam:Pan troglodytes isolate Yerkes chimp pedigree #C0471 (Clint) chromosome 6, whole genome shotgun sequence.